rnacentral:misc_RNA from 1 species
GAUGAAGAACGUAGCGAAAUGCGAAAAGUAAUGCGAAUUGCAGAAUUCAGCGAGUCAUCGAGUUUUUGAACGCACAUUGCGCCCGCCGGUAUUCCGGCGGGCAUGCCUGUCCGAGCGUCAUUGCUGCCCUCAAGCACGGCUUGUGUGUUGGGCCUCCGUCCUCCUCCCGGGGGACGGGCCCGAAAGGCAGCGGCGGCACCGCGUCCGGUCCUCGAGCGUAUGGGGCUUCGUCACCCGCUCUUGUAGGCCCGGCCGGCGCUUGCCGACACAUCAAUCUUUUUUCCAGGUUGACCUCGGAUCAGGUAGGGAUACCCGCUGAACUUAAGCAUAUCAAUAAGCGGAGGA